rnacentral:rRNA from 1 species
UCCGUAGACGGUAUUGUAAGUUAUUUGUUAAAGCCUAAAGCUUAACUUUAGAAAAGCAUUUAAUACUACUAUACUUAGAGUUUUGUGCAGAAGAGUAGAAUUUCAUGUUGAGGAGUAACGACUGCAGACACAUGAAGGAAUAUCAGCAGCGAAGGCGACUCCUUGGUAAAAACUGACGUUGAGGGACGAAAGUGUAGGUAGCAAACA